rnacentral:ncRNA from 1 species
GCUUAUCAAGAGUGACGGAGGGACAGGCCCUGUGAAGUCCGGCAACCUGCAUGAAUGUAAGGUGCCAAAUCCUGCGGUUUAACCGGAAGAUGAGA